ACAUUCAUAGCGGAGGAAAAGAAACUAACAAGGAUUCCCCUAGUAACGGCGAGUGAAGCGGGAAGAGCUCAAAUUUGUAAUCUGGCACUUUCAGUGUCCGAGUUGUAAUCUCGAGAAGUGUUUUCCGCGCCGGACCGCAUACAAGUCUGUUGGAAUACAGCGUCAUAGUGGUGAGAACCCCGUAACUGAUGCGGAUGCCCGGUGCUUUGUGAUACACUUUCGAAGAGUCGAGUUGUUUGGGAAUGCAGCUCAAAUUGGGUGGUAAAUUCCAUCUAAAGCUAAAUAUUGGCGAGAGACCGAUAGCGAACAAGUACCGUGAGGGAAAGAUGAAAAGCACUUUGGAAAGAGAGUUAACAGUACGUGAAAUUGUUGGAAGGGAAACGCUUGAGGUCAGACUUGCUAUUUGGAAUUCAGCCGCAAGGUGUACUUUUCAAUUCCCAGGCCAUCAUCAUUUUUC
rnacentral:rRNA from 1 species